rnacentral:lncRNA from 1 species
CUCUUGGAGAAAGGCAGCUGAUGUGGAGAUGGUCUCCAUGUUGAAGGCUGGUGCACCCUUGCCUCGCUGCUUUUGAAGUGAGACCCUUUAGAGAGUAGAUGGAGCAAGAGGUUUGCAUGAAGCAUCUUCAGGAAGGGGUGAGGGUGGAUGCUUGUCACCAGCUUGUCCUCAGUUCUGUCCCUGGUGAAUGCUGGAAAUGGAAGCAGUGUUUUGUGUCUGUCUCUACCCACCUCCAUGACAAGAAGCCUGGGCUUCAACCUCUGCAGCUGGACCCAGCUGGCAUGGCACAGGGGUGGGGGUAGGGAAACUGGUGUCCCUGGGAAAUACAGGAGACUGAGUCCAAAGGACC